rnacentral:rRNA from 1 species
UCGUAAGGUAGUAAGACCCCUCAAAGACGAUGAGGUUGAUAGGUCGGAGGUGGAAGCACGGUAACGUGUGGAGCUGACCGAUACUAAUAGGUCGAGGGCUUGAUCUC